CAGUAGCCGCGGUAAUACGUAGGGGGCGAGCGUUGUCCGAAGUUACUGGGCGUAAAGCGCGCGUAGGCGGCUUCUUAAGUCUGAGGUGAAAGGUUCAACGCUUAACGUGAACAGUGCCUUGGAUACUGGGGAGCUUGAGUAUGGGAGAGGGCAGUGGAAUGGCUGGUGUAGCGGUGAAAUGCGUAGAUAUCAGUCGGAACACCCAUGGCGAAGGCAGCUGCCUGGCCUAAUACUGACGCUGAGGUGCGAAAGCGUAGGGAGCGAACGGGAUUAGAGACCCCAGUAGUCCCUGUCUCUUAUU
rnacentral:rRNA from 1 species